rnacentral:rRNA from 1 species
CCUACCGGAGGCAGCAGUGGGGAAUAUUGGACAAGGCGGCAAAGCGGAAUCCAGACAGGCCGCGAAAGCAAGAAGGUGCUAUGAUUGUAAAGCAAAAAAGCCGGGAGGAAGGACCAUCCAUAAUACGGAUGAUAAUGACGUACACAGAGAAGCCGAUCC